CCUACGGGAGGCAGCAGUAGGGAAUAUUGCUCAAUGGGGGAAACCCUGAAGCAGCAACGCCGCGUGGAGGAUGAAGGUUUUCGGAUUGUAAACCCCUUUUGUUAGAGAAGAUAAUGACGGUAUCUAACGAAUAAGCACCGGCUAACUCCGUGCCAGCAGCCGCGGGAAUACGGAGGGUGCAAGCGUUACUCGGAAGCACUGGGCGUAAAGAGCGCGUAGGCGGGAUAGCAAGUCAGAUGUGAAAUCCUUAGGGUUAACCAUAGAACUGCAUUUGAAACUGUUAGUCUAGAGUAUGGGAGAGGUAGGUGGAAUGCUUGGUGUAGGGGUAAAAUGCGUAGAGAUCAAGAGGAAUACUCAUUGCGAAGGCGACCUGCUAGAACAUAACUGACGCUGAUGCGCGAAAGCGUGGGGAGCAAACAGGAUUAGAUACCCGAGUAGUC
rnacentral:rRNA from 1 species